GUGAGGAAUAUUGGUCAAUGGGCGUGAGCCUGAACCAGCCAAGUCGCGUGAGGGAAGACUGCCCUAUGGGUUGUAAACCUCUUUUGUCAGGGAGCAAACCGUUCCACGUGUGGAGCGUCGAGAGUACCUGAAGAAAAAGCAUCGGCUAACUCCGUGCCAGCAGCCGCGGUAAUACGGAGGAUGCGAGCGUUAUCCGGAUUUAUUGGGUUUAAAGGGUGCGCAGGCGGGAAGCCAAGUCAGCGGUAAAAAUUCGGGGCUCAACCCCGUCCGGCCGUUGAAACUGGUUUUCUUGAGUGGGCGAGAAGUGUGCGGAAUGCGUGGUGUAGCGGUGAAAUGCAUAGAUAUCACGCAGAACUCCGAUUGCGAAGGCAGCAUACCGGCGCUCAACUGACGCUGAGGCACGAAAGCGUGGGGAUCGAACAGG
rnacentral:rRNA from 1 species